GCACUUUAAGCAGUGAAGAAGACUCCGUGGUUAAUACCCACGGACGAUGACAUUAGCUGCAGUAUAAGCACCGGCUAACUCUGUGCCAGCAGCCGCGGUAAUACAGAGGGUGCAAGCGUUAAUCGGAAUUACUGGGCGUAAAGGGAGCGUAGGUGGCUCUAUAAGUCAGAUGUGAAAUCCCCGGGCUCAACCUGGGAACUGCAUCUGAAACUGUAGAGCUAGAGUAUGUGAGAGGAAGGUAGAAUUCCAGGUGUAGCGGUGAAAUGCGUAGAGAUCUGGAGGAAUACCGAUGGCGAAGGCAGCCUUCUGGCAUAAUACUGACACUGAGGCUCGAAAGCGUGGGUAGCAAACAGGAUUAGAUACCCUGGUAGUCCACGCCGUAAACGAUGUCUACUAGUCGUUGG
rnacentral:rRNA from 1 species